rnacentral:lncRNA from 1 species
CGUGUGUGGGGCGCCGGCCAUGGAUGGUGAUCUUGAGUCAAAGUGUAAAGUGUAUGGGAUGUGCAGCAGGAUUCUUGAGGACGGGUGAAUGAACACAAAAGAGAGAUAUCCAGAAUUCCAUCGCCUUGAUGACCUUGGCUCAGAAAGCCGUGGCUGUAGAUAUGUCAUUGGGUUGGGAAGGGGCGGGACUUUUGCUCGGGGAGGAGGAUCCUGGAGGAGGCAGAGUUGCAGAGGCUAUUACAGUGUUUAUUAAUAGACGAUGUGCUCAGGGGCCCAUUGGCAGAGUGGAUCCGGCUAGUAUUAGUGAUGCAUGGAGGUCAUGUAUUGGACCAUAGCGGUCCAGUGUUCAUGUUUUAUUUUAGUUUUUGAUUUUGUUAAACAUAGUAAAUUUGUAUAUAUUUAUGAACUUG